CAGCACAUUUUAGUCACUGCAACUUCCGUCACUACAAACCUUUAAGGAUUCAGAACAAUGUUCUUCAACGCUUGCUGAAUUGUCACAACUGUGCUGCAGCUACAGUAUCCACUGUGUACUACACUGAAAGAUACUGCCUGCACAUGCACCUGGAACAUGCUCAAAAGAUGCCAUGCAACUUGGAAGCCCAGAGGCUUUUAUGACAAGCAAUGAAGUGUGCAGCUGAAGUGCAGGAAGAAUUGAACAUUUUAACUUGGAGGGAUUGGGGUAUCAGAAAGAGAACUGCAAAGGUGAAUCUCAGUGAAGGAGGCGUGGAACUGUUGGGGAACACGAAGUGAGGGCUCUGAGCUGGGCACUGUAAAAUGGGGUUCUGGUAGCGUGGGCUCGAUCAUUAUUGUGGUAAUCCUACUUUAAUCCUAGUAUAUACCCAGACCUUGAAGAAAGGAAUCUGAGAGCAGAAUAUUGCCUGCUUACCUCCCUGCCAUCCUUGACUUUGCAGAUCUCAGCUAAGACCUGCUUGAAUAAGCAGCUACAUUUCUUGGCGCUCAUCCAAGGUAACUAAAACCAAAACUUUUGCAGAUCACCUUUUACAUUAAAUCUCUUUUCCUUAGGAAAUAAAUUUGCACUUCAGCUUGGCCUAUGCUACAUAAGUAAGUAUACAAAUCAGGACAUUUUUCUGAUUGAAAGGGCACACAGAGAUUGCUCCAGGCUAUUAAUACCAUGCUGUGUGGAAUAAGGAGAGAUAACCAAGAAUUUACUUUGCAGAGCUCAAAAAUGAUAAUGCACACAGCUGAAAGAGUACUGUUUUUCCAGUGCAGCACACCUUCAUAAUCACUUAUGGAAAUAGUAGUGUUUUUUAAUAUUUUUAGUGACAUUUACAAGGGUUUUGACUAAAAGUUGUAAAGGCAGGACUCAGUUCCUGUAUCAAGGCAGCACUAUUUGAAAAUUAUCUGACAAACCACAUUAAAGCUAUCUCAAAUAUCUAGAUGAGAAAGGCAAAGAAUUGCAAUUUCAAUCCAGAGCUAAAGCUGAACUGAAAGAAGUUCCAAAAUAGCUUCCAACCUAGAACUUUCAAGCUUCUGAAUAGCUUUGAAUCUAAAUUUCACUUUAUCUCACAUCUGCAUCUGCUCUUUUGCAAAUGACAGAAAACUUCCCAUUAUUUUUAACGGGCCAAGUGAUGUGUCAUAGGCAAGGUCAAACAAGUGACUGAGCAUUUACAGAAUCAAGAUAUGAACAUAUUCACAAUUCAUAAGUCAUUGUGCCCUGUGCAGUGACACUUUGCAGGCACAGCUAAGAGGGAGAUGGGGGUGAACGAGACUGUGCUGGGUUCUGUGCUGCAGAAUGAGGUCUGAAUUAUUGCAGGGUCCUCCUGGCCCGAGAGCAGGCCUAUUCACCUGAAUGGACCAUACUUGUGAAAUGAUUAUUUUAAAAUUCCGUUUCUUCAGUGUAUUCAAUAAAGGCUUUUCUUUAAUUCAGUACGGUAGGACCAGCGGUGUUCCAAGACAUUUCUCCUUUCAUGCUUGUUAGAUAAUCCUUUCCUAACUUAGAGGUAAGAAAGUCUGUCUUUAUCUCCAAGAGAUGAAAGCAGGAGAUAGUCCUGUCGUACAGAUCGGUUUUGCUUGCCUGUCUGGAAUUUUUAUUACAAUGCCAGAUCCUCCACAGAACAAAGGAACAGAGAGGGGAAGCCUGGACAGCAUUCUCUGGUGCCUGCUUGAGGUCGUCAACUUCUAAAUAUUUCAGGCAGCACCUCUGGCUCUGAAUGAAAAUGGACAAAUGAAAAAUGUGGAAGGAGUUUUCAAGGACAGGAUUGGUUGGUAGAUUUACCAUGGUAUGGGAUAGCUUUCUGGUGAAAAGUUAUGGCAAAUUAGCCUGAAUAUAGUACUUAAAUAUAUGGCACAAAGCAAUUCCAGACAGUUACAGCAAUAAGCAAAGUAGCCUAGGGGUCUUUUUCAUCUAGGCAGUUUGGGAAUGAGUCUCUGAUUGAGUCUCGCAGUAUAAUCUGCAGCUGGUGAGCAAGGAGGGAAAAAAGUCAAUAUUUGCUUUUAAAAAUAUUCUGAAUGUUUUGUACUCUAGCCACUAUGUUUUCCUAUUCUUCAUGCACAUGAUAUUAUAUAAAUGUUGCCCACUUUCCUUAUAGUGCUAAGGAAACAAAUUUAAUUGUAGAAAAAAACAGCAGCAGCUUGGAGGUGGUGGCAGGAAAGUACAGGACAGAAGCUGAAAGGAAGAGGGAAGGAAGACGAAACAAAGCACAUCACCUCAUCACUCCCCUAGCUACCAUAAGAGCAAUCAGCUCAAGAGAACAUUUCUUUCAGGCUGCAUUCAAUCUGCUGCAGUUUAAAAUGUCUCAAGUGAUGGAGAAUAUUUUCUCACUACUUAUGGAAAAGUUAGAAUGUGUCAGUUCAAACUAAUAAAUAUCUGGUUUGGCGGUGACAUUUACAAGUUGCCUGCUCCACUGAGCUCAGUACGCAAGAUAACAGCUCACAUUCUACAGUCAGUUCCUUAAUUAUCUUGUCCUCCCCCCAAAGAUUUGUCAGGAAGCCAUCUGAUGAUAUCCCAGAUAGAUUUGCUAUGCCAGUAAAGCAUUGGUUUGACUUUGACAUGCUUUCUGGUUUACUGAAGAUGCCCUCCUGGUAGGAGGAGAUGACUCAGCAGCUGCUCCAGUGCUUGUCCUCCCCACCUUAAAAACAGUUCUCUUUAAAUGCGUUUCCUUAAGGAGUUAUUCAAGAUUCUCAUCAUAUAUUCAGCAGAAAAGAAGAACAAAAAUCUUCCCCCAAACAAUGUUCUAUAUUUUUGAAAGCAGUUUUAGAGUAAGAACUAUAUAGUAUCUAGGACAGAGUGGAAUAUAAAUUAACAUGGAAAGGACAAAAGAAACUUCAACAUAGUGCAUGGAAUCCAGAAUUUGUUUCGUAAUGAAAUUCUUACUUCUUAAAUAGACCCAUACUCUUCUCCUUUCUUCACAGAUUUUCCACUGAAAUUUUUUUAUUAGCAGUCAAAAGGCGGAGAGUGAAGAGACCCAAAGACCCCAUUGCUGUGUGAAUUCACAUUAUUUUUAGCUCUCCUGCAUGAAAAAUUAUGGAGGAGAAAUUUUAGGCUUGUGGAAUGAUACCUCACCUAUAUGCAAAAAUAUAAUUCCAAAGUAAAUCCUUAUGAUCUCAUCAAAUUACUGUAUUAAAGAUCGUAACAAAAAUACCUGUUCAAGCAAGACACUCAAAUGUACAAAGUAUAAAUUAAUUCCCAGAAGACCAACUUGAAUGAAGUCUGCAUUAAACCUAUUCUGUGGCUGAUUAUACUUGCUUUGAAAAAUUGUCUUGUUCAUAUCUACAAUCACACUGGCACAAUAAUAAAAUCCUCAAGCCUUGGCUGCA